GAUUAACGCUGGCGGCGUGCCUAACACAUGCAAGUCGAACGAGGUAGCAAUACCUAGUGGCAGACGGGUGAGUAACGCGUGGUCAACCUACCGUUGAGUGGGGGAUAACUAGCCGAAAGGUUAGCUAAUACCGCAUACGGGGUCGAGGGGCAUCCCCCGAUCUUAAAAGGAGCAAUCCGCUCGAUGACGGGACCGCGUCCCAUUAGCUAGAUGGUGGGGUAAUGGCCUACCAUGGCUCCGAUGGGUAGCUGGUUUGAGAGAGCGACCAGCCACACUGGGACUGAGAAACGGCCCAGACUCCUACGGGAGGCAGCAGUGAGGAAUUUUCCGCAAUGGGCGAAAGCCUGACGGAGCGACGCCGCGUGUGGGAAGAAGGCCUUCGGGUCGUAACC
rnacentral:rRNA from 1 species